rnacentral:rRNA from 1 species
AUUGAACGCUGGCGGCAGGCCUAACACAUGCAAGUCGAGCGGAUGAAGGGAGCUUGCUCCUGGAUUCAGCGGCGGACGGGUGAGUAAUGCCUAGGAAUCUGCCUGGUAGUGGGGGAUAACGUCCGGAAACGGGCGCUAAUACCGCAUACGUCCUGAGGGAGAAAGUGGGGGAUCUUCGGACCUCACGCUAUCAGAUGAGCCUAGGUCGGAUUAGCUAGUUGGUGGGGUAAAGGCCUACCAAGGCGACGAUCCGUAACUGGUCUGAGAGGAUGAUCAGUCACACUGGAACUGAGACACGGUCCAGACUCCUACGGGCGGCAGCAGUGGGGAAUAUUGGACAAUGGGCGAAAGCCUGAUCCAGCCAUGCCGCGUGUGUGAAGAAGGUCUUCGGAUUGUAAAGCACUUUAAGUUGGGAGGAAGGGCAGUAAGUUAAUACCUUGCUGUUUUGACGUUACCAACAGAAUAAGCACCGGCUAACUUCGU